GAGGGUGGUAUAAGACCUGCUAACUCUUUAAUCUGGAAAUAACAACCAGCCCCCUCU
rnacentral:tRNA from 1 species